AGCGAACGCUGGCGGCAGGCCUAACACAUGCAAGUCGAGCGGGCGUAGCAAUACGUCAGCGGCAGACGGGAGAGUAACACGUGGGAACGUGCCCUUUGGUUCGGAAUAACUCAGGGAAACUUGAGCUAAUACCGGAUAAGCCCUUCGGGGGAAAGAUUUAUUGCCAUUGGAGCGGCCCGCGUCGGAUUAGCUAGUUGGUGAGGUAAUGGCUCACCAAGGCGACGAUCCGUAGCUGGUCUGAGAGGAUGACCAGCCUCACUGGGACUGAGACACGGCCCAGACUCCUACGGGAGGGAGCAGUGGGGAAUAUUGGACAAUGGGCGCAAGCCUGAUCCAGCCAUGCCGCGUGGAUGAUGAAGGCCGUAGGGUUGUAAAGUCCUUUUAACGGGGAAGAUAAUGACGGUACCCGUAGAAUAAGCCCCGGCUAACUUCGUGCCAGCCGCCGCGGUAA
rnacentral:rRNA from 1 species